rnacentral:rRNA from 1 species
UACGUAGGUGGCAAGCGUUGUCCGGAUUUACUGGGUGUAAAGGGCGUGUAGCCGGGCUGACAAGUCAGAUGUGAAAUCCGGGGGCUCAACCCCCGAACUGCAUUUGAAACUGUUGGUCUUGAGUAUCGGAGAGGCGGGCGGAAUUCCUAGUGUAGCGGUGAAAUGCGUAGAUAUUAGGAGGAACACCAGUGGCGAAGGCGGCCUGCUGGACGACAACUGACGGUGAGGCGCGAAAGCGUGGGGAGCAAACAGG